rnacentral:tRNA from 1 species
UCACCUGUAGCCCAAUCGGUCAGGGCGCCGCGAUGAGCGGAGGUGAGGGUUCGAGCCCCUCCAGGCCAA